AUUGAACGCUGGCGGCAGGCCUAACACAUGCAAGUCGAACGGUAACAGGAAACAGCUUGCUGUUUCGCUGACGAGUGGCGGACGGGUGAGUAAUGUCUGGGAAACUGCCUGAUGGAGGGGGAUAACUACUGGAAACGGUAGCUAAUACCGCAUAACGUUGCAAGACCAAAGAGGGGGACCUUCGGGCCUCUUGCCAUCGGAUGCGCCCAGAUGGGAUUAGCUAGUAGGUGGGGUAACGGCUCACCUAGGCGACGAUCCCUAGCUGGUCUGAGAGGAUGACCAGCCACACUGGAACUGAGACACGGUCCAGACUCCUACGGGAGGCAGCAGUGGGGAAUAUUGCACAAUGGGCGCAAGCCUGAUGCAGCCAUGCCGCGUGUAUGAAGAAGGCCUUCGGGUUGUAAAGUACUUUCAGCGGGGAGGAAGGGAGUAAAGUUAAUACCUUUACUCAUUGACGUUACCCGCAGAAGAAGCACCGGCUAACUCCGUG
rnacentral:rRNA from 1 species